rnacentral:rRNA from 1 species
AUUGAACGCUAGCGGGAUGCUUUACACAUGCAAGUCGAACGAGUGGCGGACGGGUGAGUAAUAUAUCGGAAUGUGCCCAGUAGAGGGGGAUAACUACUCGAAAGAGUGGCUAAUACCGCAUAUUCUUGUAGCGACAGAUAUCGGUUUAGCGAGUUGGUGGGGUAACGGCGCACCAAGGCCACGAUCCGUAGCUGGUUUGAGAGGACGACCAGCCACACUGUGACUGUGACACGGCCCAGACUCGUACGUGAGGCAGCAGUGGGGAAUUUUGGACAAUGGGGGAAACCCUGAUCCAACCAUCCCGCGUGUAUGAGAAGGCCUUCGGGUUGUAAAGUACUUUUGGCAGAGAAGCGGUAUCUGCAGAAUAAGCACCGGCUAACUACGUGCCAGCAGCCGCGGUAAUUC